ensembl:lncRNA
GUGCAGGGCUGCGUAUGAAUGUGAGUUAAAGAAGCCUCAGAAGACCUUCAAGGAUCCAGUUGACCUCUGAAUCAGCUGUUAAGAAAAUGGGACAGUUAUAUUGCUUCAAUUGGUCUCCUACUUCAUUUGAUUCCACCAUCAUUACAAGGCUGCAAGGGAUCUGGAAAAAUGUCAUCCUGUCAAGCUGAAAAACAUCUUCAAAAAGGCACUAACAAGAACAGCUUGAUUGCAGAGAAGAGACCACACAGCCAUACACGCUCACUGAUGGGACAGUGAGGAACAUCAUUCAUGGAUGCUACACAACUCAAAUCUACACGUCAUAUUUGUUCAUGUCUAGGUAAAUUUGAUGAUUUUGUGUUUUAUUAAUUACUUUGUUUCUGUGCAACACUUAAUGAAUGUGACUGACUAAUUAACCUCUACACAUCUGGUAUAUGCUUUAAAGUUGCCACUUUGC